rnacentral:tRNA from 1 species
CUAGAUAGCUCAGUCGGUAGAGCAGCGGACUGAAAAUCCGCGUGUCGCUGGUUCGAUUCCGGCUCUAGG